UUGCUUCUCUUGAGAGCGGCGGACGGGUGAGUAAUGCCUAGGAAUCUGCCUGGUAGUGGGGGAUAACGUUCGGAAACGGACGCUAAUACCGCAUACGUCCUACGGGAGAAAGCAGGGGACCUUCGGGCCUUGCGCUAUCAGAUGAGCCUAGGUCGGAUUAGCUAGUUGGUGGGGUAAUGGCUCACCAAGGCGACGAUCCGUAACUGGUCUGAGAGGAUGAUCAGUCACACUGGAACUGAGACACGGUCCAGACUCCUACGGGAGGCAGCAGUGGGGAAUAUUGGACAAUGGGCGAAAGCCUGAUCCAGCCAUGCCGCGUGUGUGAAGAAGGUCUUCGGAUUGUAAAGCACUUUAAGUUGGGAGGAAGGGUUGUAGAUUAAUACUCUGCAAUUUUGACGUUACCGACAGAAUAAGCACCGGCUAACUCUGUGCCAGCAGCCGCGGUAAUACAGAGGGUGCAAGCGUUAAUCGGAAUUACUGGGCGUAAAGCGCGCGUAGGUGGUUUGUUAAGUUGGAUGUGAAAUCCCCGGGCUCAACCUGGGAACUGCAUUCAAAACUGACUGACUAGAGUAUGGUAGAGGGUGGUGGAAUUUCCUGUGUAGCGGUGAAAUGCGUAGAUAUAGGAAGGAACACCAGUGGCGAAGGCGACCACCUGGACUAAUACUGACACUGAGGUGCGAAAGCGUGGGGAGCAAACAGGAUUAGAUACCCUGGUAGUCCACGCCGUAAACGAUGUCAACUAGCCGUUGGGAAGCCCUUGAGCUU
rnacentral:rRNA from 1 species